ensembl:lncRNA
UUUAAAUAUUUGUGUUCUCUUGUUCCUUUGGUGAUCCAUUUUUAAAGGUCAAUACUUAUUGAAUGAACCUUCCUGGACUCCACACAGUGCAAGAUCAGAAAUAAGAUAAAGGAAGAGAGGGUGAGCGAUAAGCACAUGGAGACGUGACACCGAAGCAGAAAGAUCGGCUACUCCUGGACUAUAAUGCAGAAGACCGGAGAGUAUGAAGUUGAGUACUCGGUAGUCGUUGAUGAUGGCAUAUGCUCCUCAUGGGGCGACUAAGCAGUCUAUUCUAAUUCCAGUCUUUCCAGUCUUAUUGCUCAGAUCCCCACCAUUCAGCUUUACUCCCUGUCUGUAACAUGAAUGAGAGACCAUGCUGUUACCCUAAAGACCAUGGAACCGGAACACUUAAUUGUGAUCAUAUCUUCAACAAAUUGAACUUUGAUGGGACACUGAGCAAAGGAUGUUGGUGGGUUACUAGGC